ACUCCGUCUGAAACAGACAAACAAACAAAAAAAACAUGGUAGGCUGGGCACGGUGGCUCAUUCCUGUAAUCUCACCACUUUGGGAGACUGAGGAAGGAGGAUCACCUAAGGCCAGGAGUUUGAGACCAGCCUGGGCAAAACGGUGAGACCCUGUCUCUACAAAAGACGACAGAAAAAUUAGCUAGGUGUGCUGGUGCACCUGUGGUUCUAGCUACUUAGGAGGAUCACCUGAGCCCAGGAGGGCACUGCAGCAGUGAGCUGUGUCCACAGUGCUACACUUCAGCCUGGUCGACAGAGUGACACCAUGUCUCAAAAGAAAAAAAGAAAAGCCACGGUAAAUAAACUAAUACCUGUUAUAUGGCAGGAAAUCAAUGAAACAUUUUCACUGAACCAUCUCUACCCGCAUAUGCAGUUGUUUUUUUCAAACUACAGUCUUAUGUUGCUAAUUAGUUACUGAACAUUCCAUUUGAACGUCUCAAACUCCACUAGCAUGUCUUGCAUCUCUUCCUGUAGACACCAUCUUCCUGGAGGAUGUCCUCUGGGCUAUUAAGUAUGGCUCUAACAUCCAUGCUCCUCACAAAAUACAUGGAAUUCCAGUAGAUUAACAGCACCCCCCGCCCACACACCUCAGCUCUACGUAAUACAUACUCACAUGACAAAAUAAUGGUUUGCUUCUGUAACUUAGUUUGUGUAGCAGAAGUCACUAUUUACAGUUACUCAUUUUUUGUAACAAAUAGUUUACUUUAAUUGCAAAUGAAGUUCGAGUAACACUUAGCCUUGAAUAAUGUCAUGCUAACGUGAUAAAACCACCUCCAACAAGGUAAGAGUUUGGGCCAGGCUCGGUGGCUCAUACCUGUAAUCCCAGCACUUUGGGAGGCCGAGGCAAGAGGAUUGCUUGGGGCAAGGAAUUCAAGACCAGCCCAGGUAACAUAGUGAAACACCGUCUCUACAGAAAAUAAAAGCUGGAUGUGGUGGCAUGCACCUGUAGUCCCAGUUACUUGGGAGGCUGAGGUAGGACAAUCAUUUGAGCCCAGGAGUUCGAGCCAACAGUGAGCCAUGACUGUGCCACUGUACUCUAGCCUGGGUGACAGACGAGACUCUAUCAAAAAAAAAAAAAAAAAAAUUUGGUCUUGGAUUCAAGUAAACCUGGCUCAAAUUUAAGUUUUGCCACUUCCUAGCUGGUGACGCUGGGUACCCUUGGGCAAGGUACUGCAUCUCCCUAAGCCUCAGUUUCCUCCCAUGUAAACUGGAGAUAAUAAAUUGAUCUGUUUCUUAAAGACAUUAAGAAAGCUAAAUAAGCCUAAGAAAUAAAGAAAGCCUCAGGUGGAUCACCUGAAGUCAGGAGUUUGAGACCAGCCUGGCCAACAUGGCGAAACCCCAAAUCACCGCUAAUUAAACAAAAAUUAGCCGGUUGUGGUGGUGGGCGCCUGUAAUCCUAUUGACUCAGGAGGCUGAGGCAGAAGAAUCGCUUGAACCCAGGAGGUGGAGGUUGCAGUGAGCUGAGAUCACGCCAUUGCACUCCAGCCUGGGCAACAAGAGCAAAACUCCAUCUCAAAAAAAAGAAAAAAAAAUUAGAAAGCCUUAUCCUGAGUAAACUCUCAACAAAUAGUAGCAAUUAACUAUUAACAAUGUUCAUCUUUGAGUAAUUUAGUUAACUAGGGUGACAGGUUAAUAUUGAUCAUUAGCUUCAUGUUGAACAUUCCCAGAAGCUAAAUCCCCUAUGAAAGGCACAGGACUAUAAAUCAGUGGAGUGGGGGUGUUGUAAUUGCCCAGCAAUGUGCAAAUAAUUCCCCUUAAAACCUGGGCAACAUUUCAGACUUAUUAUUAUCUAUUCAGGACACUAACUCCUAGUGACUGUUAAGAGCAAAAGACGACUCAUUCUUAUAACAUAUAUACAUAUGUUAAAAUAUAUAUAUGGGUAAGACAGUAUUUUACUCUUGGAUCUGAAAUAUGGCUCCACUGGGAGGCUAGAGCAAAAGAUAUGUAGAAUACUUGCCAAGAUUAAAAUCUUGCAUAUUAGUAAUGAAGAAUUUUUUAAUUACUUGCAUGCUUUAACCAGCUGUUAAAAAUAAACAUUGCGAAUUACUGCUGAUAAAUCCCCUGUUGGUUGAAAGACACUUGCCUGGAUCACUUUGCUACAUGCAAUUUCUUUGUAGUGAACUAGAUUUGGCCUCGGUCAUAAUUACUUGAGUUCAAUGAACUCAAGUAAUUAUGAACGCAACUUGAGUUCAAUGAGUUCCUGGUGUGCCCAGGUUCUAAAAUACAGAAGGGUAACAUGGUAUGAAUUUGCACAACUUAGAGAUACCAGGGACUGGUUGACUCUAUUUCUGGUUUGAUUUUCAAUAGCAAAAGGCUGUUUUACACUAAAAGAUCAGGUAACCAGGCACAACAAGAUGUGUUGCCAAAGAAUCCCUUUGGCUCAAGAAAAAGAGGCUCUAGGUUGGCUGGAAAAGUCAGCACUGGGACGUAGCAGUGCUUGUCUGUGUCAACAAAGAACUGGGCCCUGCAUAAAGGAGCAGGUGGGGGGUCACUCGAAUCCAAGGCCCUUUGGCGAGUCCCAUCUCCCCCUUCAUUCAUUCAGCAAAGUUGUACUGAGCACCUGCUGUAGCAAAGCACUGCAAAGGGAAGAGCCAAGCAGAAGUCAGGAGCCUCUCAGCAUCUUGCAAGGGAGCCAGUGUUUAGUAUCUGGCACCAGUGCUCACCUCCUUGUUGAAAGAUAAGAAACACCUAGAGUGCAGAUUACCAACCAACACAGACUUUCUCAAUCAGAAGCAUCAGGGAAGAGUCUGGAGUCUGUAUAUCGAGGUAAAAUAGAUGUAAGGAGUUCCUGAAAUCAUUGGUUCUGAUCAUUCCCCUGCCCCCGUGCUUUUCUGGUUGUUACAGUGAAAGGACCGAUUCCAGAGCUUCCUACUCUGCCGUUUUACAUGAUGUCACCCUUCUGGAGUCUGCAUUUUUAAUUUAGGCCUUGAAUGUUCUUAUUGCCUCAGGCUGGGAGUCUCAGGUGUAAAAGAAGCAAUAACUGGGGAAUCAGCUGUAAUUUCAGAUAAGGGACCACCUGGCUGAUAAGUGCAUUCACCCCGUCAACAAGCAUUUAUUGGGCAUAUGAAGGGUACAGAAGUAGAAAAAACAGACAUGGUUCCUGCUCUCAUGGGGCGUUUAUGUUCUGGGGAGCAAAUCACUUCAUCAAACAAUUUCCAUAUAAAACAAGAGUUUGAACUACUCUGCUUAAAGGUAUGUUGGUGCCAAAUAUACAUGAUUUGAAUAAACGUAAUUCAAAUAAACAUGAUUCUAGAAAAGGAAAUCAAUCUCAUUUUUUAAGAAAAACUCCAGCAAAUGUUAAAUUACCCAGGGACCAAAAGACGACCCCCGUUUGAAAGAAAGAGGGCACAGAGGUGAGUGGAGAGGCUGCCUUUGGAAACCACGGGGUAGGAUCACCUGUACCCAGGAGUGGACUGUGGACAUGGCACACCAGGACAUGCUGCGAUUCCUGGAGAAAAAUCGAACUUAAAGGACCUUAAGCAGAAAAGAAAGUGAACUGAAGACUCACGUGAGAGGACGAUCUGGAAUGAUGAGCGUCCCGCAGGCAGCGUUACGGAACCCCAGUGUAGUCACCAGGACCUCCUCCCUCUCCAUUUUUUGGCUCUUCUUAACACAUAGCUGGACCCAGCAGCCCAAACAUCAUCAGCACUCGGUCCUCUCCUUCAGGUAGGAGGACCCUGAAGAGGAGCUGCACCAAGCGCCUGUCCUCCCCAGAGAAGCAAUCCUAGCUGAAAGGGUUUCUCUAAACCUGCUCUGGGAGAAAGGCUGAAAGGAUGACGCUGACUGGCCCAUCGUGGCCCAAUGACUGCGGCCGAAGGAUGGAAGUCCUGUGAGCGGUCAGGCCUGCAUGUGGAGGUCAGCCCCACGAAAGGGCUGGGAGGGACUUUUUGUCACCAAAAAGGAGCAUGGGGUAUCAUUCUCUAAAGUGAGAUAUGCUGGUGAACAGCACACAACCUGGUGUGCCAUCUCUAAGCAAGAGAUGCUGGUGAAGAUUUUAAUAACAUUGCUGGUGCUGGCUUCCAAGGCCAGCCAGCAGGGGCACCAGUGGCCCUAUAAUGAUGUCUAAUUGGGUCAGAGCUGGGGCGUGGCAUUCUGCAGGCAACUUCUACCCUUUGUAAGGCUGGGCGAACCGGAGAUUUGGAAAGCAAUACAAGGUAGAAGCAGCCCCAACAAUCUACGACAAAGCAACACUUGCCUCUUUUAUACACCAUGUUAGAUGGUUGAGGAAAAUAAAACAUUUUCUUGAAAAGAAUCCCUAGGCCUAUUCCCUAGGUUUGAGAAACACCACAGCAUAGGUAAUUUGGUGCCAGAAUGAGUUAUUUGACCCUCCACUAACUGUUACUGCUUGUAAUGUGGCACUGUCUGCCCCUGUCACCAGAAACGGCACUGAGGACAUCCAAGAAGUAUUUCCAACAGGCUUUCCAGACCGCUCUUCCCUUUUUGCAGGUGGGAGCAGUUUGGGCAUUACCUUUAGGUUCCAAUACAGGGCUCCUUGUUGCUCACACAUCCUUCCUUCAUUGCGACCCUCCAUCAAUCAUAUGGAUAACCUCCCACACACUCCUCAGAAGCCAUGGGUGAGGUAGCAGUGCUGGGUGGCUUCUGCCCAGACCUCUGAGAGCAUCCCCAAGUGCACAAGUGUGAGCAUAAUUUUAUUGUUAGGCAGGGUUGAGUGAUUCAAUCUAAGGUUGAGGCAAGGUGAGGGCAGCUGGGAACCCUAGAACUAAUAGAAUUUCUUAACUGCAGCGUCUCCUGACCAUAGAAAGGAAGGGGAGCUCCCUUUCAGGAAAUAGACUAAGUCUUUUAAAGUGGUGAGUUUUCAGCUGAGAUGUGGAGGGAGCACAAAUCACUUGGCCCACAUUCCUUCCCCAUUCCCUGACCUCCUUAUAGCAUUAAUACUCCACCAGAUCAUAUAGACAAUGACUUCCCUUACUCACUAGACCUCAUCUAAUCUUGACUUAGUUACGACAGUUCUAGUGUAGGUUGGCUAUUUUCCCCAGUCUCCAAAAGAUUAGAAACAGUGAGUUAUCUGUGUGCUAGAAAAGAGUGUUCAUCCAUAGCAGAUGGGAAAACAGCAUUCAUUGGACAAAUACUUAUUGAACUCCUGCACUGUGCCGGGCAUUAGGAGUACAGCUGUAAGCAAGACAAAGUUCCCACCCUCAUAGAGCUAACAGGCAUUAAACAAAUAACCGUACAAAUGUUUACAGUUAUGAGCAAUGCUAUAAAAGAAAGGCAGGAAGCUAUGACAGGCCUGUAGCAUCAUUUGUAGCAGGAGCACCAAUCUUAAAUUGCUGGGAUCAGUGAAGGCCUCUAGAAAGAGACUUAACAAGAGACACGAAAUAAACAUUAUUCAGGCCAAAAGGAGGAGCAGGGAGCCUGAGAAGCUUGGAGCCCAGGAACCUAAAAAAGGUCAGUGUAAUUGGGGCAGAGAAGGCAGAAUAAUGUGAGAUGAAGUUAGAGAGACAGGCAAGGGGCCAGUUCAGACAAAGCCUCUUGAUCACGUUAAAGAUUCUCAACCUAAGGAAAGUUUUCAGCAGAGAAGUGACAAAAGAUUUGCACCUUUAUAGAGUCUCUUGGCUAGGCAUGUGGAGAAUGGACUGAAGGAAGGAGGGUGUGGAUAUGGGUGGAAGAGCAAAUGGGCUACUAGUGGAAUCUAUGGGAGAGAAGGUACACCUAUACCUUGGGCAGUUUUAAGGCAUGAUUACAAGUAAAAAUCAACUGGCUUAAACAUGGGUUAGGUGUGUCAAGUCUGGGAGAGGGCAGGGGUCAGGGAUUAUCCCAGAUCUCUGGGAUGGGAAAUUCAGCAGGUAGUGGAGAUAUUUACUAAGGAAGGGAGCCCUGUAAGAAUUUGGGGUGGGAGAGGAUUAUGAAUUCCACUUUGGCUACACUGGCUGACAGGUGCAUGUGGGACAUCCAUGUGGAGUUGCAGAAGUACUUAGAUAUGAGUCUGGAGCCCAGGAGUGGUCUGGAACUGUACAUCUAGUAGUACAUAUUUGGGCUGGGAGAUGAAAAUGGAGGCCAUGGGCUUAGGUGAGCUCACCUAGGGAGAAAGUAUGGUAUUAGAACAGGGCCAAGGAAUGAGCACUGAGAAAAUCUACCAUUUCAAGCUGGAGUGGGAGACAGUAACAGAAUUGGGGAGAUAUGGAAGCAGGAAUGUGGUAGCCAGGUUCCACGUUGGCCUCCAAUGACACCACCUCCUGGUAUUCAUAUCCUUGUGUAGUCUCCUCCCACACUGAAUACGGCUAACCUGUGUAAACACCCGAGACUGUGGAAACGACAGUGCAUGGCUGUGGCUGUGAGUAUAAAAUCUUUUUAAGAUCUCAGAAAGGCCUGAUGUGGCACCCCAGAGAGCUGUUCAGACAGUAAGGCUUCUAAGAAGCACAGCGUAUUGUCCCUUGGCAGUCUGAGCAGAAGCUCACAGUGGAGAACUUACCUCAGAGAUUUGUGGGUGUGGCUUUUGUGAGUGAACUGCAAUAAGACUCAGGUGACGCAUUCAAAAUAAUGUUCCCAGUACCACUGCCAGCUUGAAUGGAAAGGGAUAUAGUGCAAAAUGUUAACACAGCCGUUGGGCCCCUAAAAUCCUUCUGGCAAGAAGCAGGCAGAAAAAGCUUUGUAGCUGGAAAUGUGGGCAACGUUUCAUGGAAAAGGAAGGAUGACUCACAUCGGGCCAAGAGCUCAGCCUCCAAGAUCGCCUUUGACCAUCUCCCUCUUCUGGUAUAAUACGGAAAUACCUUUGUGUAUUUCCUUCCCCUACUGAAUAGGAUUGACCUGCAUAACCAAUAUACUGUGGAAUGACACUGUGACAUUUGAGGCCAAGUCAUAAAGGACAAUGCAGCUUCCACCCUGCUGUCUUGGAUGACCUGCUCUGGGGAUGAGGAUAUUCAAGCAGUUCUAGAACAAUACAUGGCAGGUGCUCAUAUGCGUUAACCCCAGGCUAAUGCAAAAGCUUCUUUAUGACAGAAAAGACUCCAAACACGUUUUCCUAAAAACAAUCACUACCAUCACCUCAUACUGAUGUUGCAAUUUAUAUUAGAAGUACUUUCACCACAUCUUGCUUU
rnacentral:lncRNA from 1 species